AGAGUUUGAUCCUGGCUCAGAGCGAACGCUGGCGGCAGGCCUAACACAUGCAAGUCGAGCGCCCCGCAAGGGGAGCGGCAGACGGGAGAGUAACACGUGGGAACGUGCCCUUUGGUUCGGAACAACACAGGGAAACUUGUGCUAAUACCGGAUAAGCCCUUACGGGGAAAGAUUUAUCGCCAAAGGAUCGGCCCGCGUCUGAUUAGCUAGUUGGUGAGGUAACGGCUCACCAAGGCGACGAUCAGUAGCUGGUCUGAGAGGAUGAUCAGCCUCACUGGGACUGAGACACGGCCCAGACUCCUACGGGAGGCAGCAGUGGGGAAUAUUGGACAAUGGGCGCAAGCCUGAUCCAGCCAUGCCGCGUGGAUGAUGAAGGCCCUAGGGUUGUAAAGUCCUUUCGGCGGGGAAGAUAAUGACGGUACCCGCAGAAGAAGCCCCGGCUAACUUCGUGCCAGCAGCCGCGGUAAUACGAAGGGGGCUAGCGUUGCUCGGAAUCACUGGGCGUAAAGCGCACGUAGGCGGCUUUUUAAGUCAGGGGUGAAAUCCUGGAGCUCAACUCCAGAACUGCCUUUGAUACUGAGAAGCUUGAGUCCGGGAGAGGUGAGUGGAACUGCGAGUGUAGAGGUGAAAUUCGUAGAUAUUCGCAAGAACACCAGUGGCGAAGGCGGCUCACUGGCCCGGUACUGACGCUGAGAUGCGAAAGCGUGGGGAGCAAACAGGAUUAGAUACCCUAGUAGUCC
rnacentral:rRNA from 1 species